AAACUGCGAUAAGUAGUGUGAAUUGCAUUUAGUGAAUCAUCGAAUCUUUGAACGCACCUUGCACUCACUGGUAUUCCGGUGAGUACGCCUGUUUCAGUAUCAUUGAAACACCACAGCCAAAAAUUUAUUUCUGGCUGGACUUGGGCUUAUUUCGGCUUGAGAGUUUUUACUUUCAAGUAGCCUAGAAUUCAUUGUCUGGCUAAUUGCAUCGUCUUUGACCGCUAUUAGACUUGGGCUUUAUAAAUGAACUGGAGGUUGAUUAACCAGUUUUAGCUCUAGUCAAAUGGUUAAUGUAAUUCGAUCUUGGCAUAGAGUACACUGAGCCGAAAAAUCUCGUUGUGCUAUAAAUCAUAAUCACUCUUAGUAUCGAUCUGAAAUCAGGUGGGACUACCCGCUGAACUUAA
rnacentral:misc_RNA from 1 species